UUAGAUGGAGCAGCAGUUCACUGGGCAAUAAUUGAGGACUGAAGGUGUAUCAGUGGCCUUAUCCUAAAUCCUUUAUGAAGAGCCAACUGCUUCAGCUCCAUAUCAGCAGCUUUUACUCCUGUCUCUCUCCCCCUCAACUGAGGAGCACACCAAGAAGACAAAUAAAGAGGGAGAAUGAGAGACAAAACAAAGAGACUGAUCACUGUAUAGAGAGAAAUCAAGGAACACAGGCAGACAGAGGUCAGGAAGUCAAGCAGAUGCCCAGGAGGACCUGAUGUGGAUGGAAAGGAGGCAAGCAGGCAUCCAGUGAGACAGGGCAAAGGGGAAGAAAAAGCUUUCAUCUGGACCGAAAGUAGGAUGAUUCCUGAAGAAGAAACCUGAAGGCGAGAGCUCUCUGGGUGGAUAAGCCUAUGCAAAGACGUGAGGAGCCAGGACUGGCUGGAGCAGAGGGAUCACAGCAGGA